AAAUUGAAUCCAGGUAGCAUCCCUCGCGUUCGUUCGUAAUAUAAUACUUCUUAGUGAACUUUGUGUUCGAUGGCGUG